rnacentral:Y_RNA from 3 species
UGCUGGUCUGAGGGUAGUGGGUUAUCAGAACUUAUUAACAUUAGUGUCACUAACAUCGGCAUACAACCCCCCACCCCUGUCCCCCCCCUGCUAAAUUUGACUGGCUUUAA